rnacentral:rRNA from 1 species
GAAUUGACGGGGGCCCGCACAAGCGGUGGAGCAUGUGGUUUAAUUCGAUGCAACGCGAAGAACCUUACCUGGUCUUGACAUCCACGGAAGUUUUCAGAGAUGAGAAUGUGCCUUCGGGAACCGUGAGACAGGUGCUGCAUGGCUGUCGUCAGCUCGUGUUGUGAAAUGUUGGGUUAAGUCCCGCAACGAGCGCAACCCUUAUCCUUUGUUGCCAGCGGUCCGGCCGGGAACUCAAAGGAGACUGCCAGUGAUAAACUGGAGGAAGGUGGGGAUGACGUCAAGUCAUCAUGGCCCUUACGACCAGGGCUACACACGUGCUACAAUGGCGCAUACAAAGAGAAGCGACCUCGCGAGAGCAAGCGGACCUCAUAAAGUGCGUCG